rnacentral:rRNA from 1 species
GGCUCAGGAUGAACGCUAGCUACAGGCUUAACACAUGCAAGUCGAGGGGCAGCAUUAUCGAAGCUUGCUUUGAUAGAUGGCGACCGGCGCACGGGUGAGUAACGCGUAUCCAACCUUCCCCAUAGUCAGGAAUAGCCCGGCGAAAGUCGAAUUAAUGCCUGAUGUUUUCCACGGACGGCAUCUGAUGUGGAACAAAGAUUGAUCGCUAUGGGAUGGGGAUGCGUCUGAUUAGCUUGUUGGCGGGGUAACGGCCCACCAAGGCAACGAUCAGUAGGGGUUCUGAGAGGAAGGUCCCCCACAUUGGAACUGAGACACGGUCCAAACUCCUACGGGAGGCAGCAGUGAGGAAUAUUGGUCAAUGGGCGGAAGCCUGAACCAGCCAAGUAGCGUGAGGGAUGACUGCCCUAUGGGUUGUAAACCUCUUUUAUAAGGGAAUAAAAUACGGGACAUGUCCUGUUUUGCAUGUACUUUAUGAAUAAGGACCGGCUAAUUCCGUG